UUCAAUUGAUCCAUUUUUCCU
rnacentral:piRNA from 1 species